GAUGAACGCUGGCGGCGUGCCUAAUACAUGCAAGUCGAGCGAACAGACGAGGAGCUUGCUUCUCUGACGUUAGCGGCGGACGGGUGAGUAACACGUGGAUAACCUACCUAUAAGACUGGGAUAACUUCGGGAAACCGGAGCUAAUACCGGAUAAUAUCUUGAACCGCAUGGUUCAAUAGUGAAAGACGGUUUUGCUGUCACUUAUAGAUGGAUCCGCGCUGCAUUAGCUAGUUGGUAAGGUAACGGCUUACCAAGGCAACGAUGCAUAGCCGACCUGAGAGGGGGAUCGGCCACACUGGAACUGAGACACGGUCCAGACUCCGACGGGAGGCAGCAGUAGGGAAUCUUCCGCAAUGGGCGAAAGCUUGACGGAGCAACGCCGCGUGAGUGAUGAAGGUCUUCGGAUCGUAAAACUCUGUUAUUAGGGAAGAACAUAUGUGUAAGUAACUAUGCACGUCUUGACGGUACCUAAUCAGAAAGCCACGGCUAACUACGUG
rnacentral:rRNA from 1 species